rnacentral:rRNA from 1 species
GACAGAGGGUGCAAACGUUGCUCGGAAUUACUGGGCGUAAAGCGCGUGUAGGCGGGCCCACAAGUCGGACGUGAAAUCCCUGAGCUCAACUCAGGAACUGCAUCCGAAACUGUGGGCCUGGAGUGGUGGAGAGGGAAGCAGAAUUCCUGGUGUAGAGGUGAAAUUCGUAGAUAUCAGGAGGAACACCGGUGGCGAAGGCGGCUUCCUGGACCGGUUCUGACACUGAGGAGCGAAAGCGUGGGGAGCGAUCCGG